rnacentral:rRNA from 1 species
UGGGGAAUUUUGCACAAUGGGGGAAACCCUGAUGCAGCGACGCCGCGUGAUUUAGAAGGCCUUCGGGUUGUAAAAAUCUUUUUUACGGGAUGAAAAUGACAGUACCGUAAGAAUAAGGUCCGGCUAAAUACGUGCCAGCAGCCGCGGUAAUACGUAUGGAGCGAGCGUUGUCCGGAAUCAUUGGGCGUAAAGGGUACGUAGGCGGCCUAGUAAGUUAGAAGUGAAAUAAUAUAGCUCAACUAUAUAAAGCUUUUAAAACUGCUAGGCUUGAGAGAUGGAAGAGAAAGUGGAAUUACUAGUGUUGCAGUGAAAUGCGCAGAUAUUAGGAAGAAUACCGGUGGCGAAGGCGACUUUCUGGUCAUCAUCUGACGCUGAGGUACGAAAGCGUGGGUAGCAAACAGG